CUUUGACCUCCAACUAGACAUCAUUCACCAAAGCCCGAUGCUCCCACAGAGAUCUGUUGUGGAAGCAGGCAGCAGAGCAGGUACUGGCCAUAAACCAGGGCUGGGACAAUACCAGUAUCAUGAUUCUCCUUAGUAUUGUGGCAAGCAAACAAAACACGAAGCAAAUGUAACUUGUUUAGGAAAACAGCCCUAAUGUUGGCAACAAACAUCAUAAUGUUGUCAUCCAGAGUCACAUGUAUUUAUUUUCCCAGCUAUAGAACACAAUACUUUACAUUCUGCAGGUUUUUAAAGGACCAAAGAGUUUGACCUGCUUUGUGUUUUCAUUUUUGCCAUGGAAAAAAGACUGUGAUCCUGGUAUCGUCCCAGCCCUACCAUAAACAGAAGGUUUAAAGUUGGCGUAACCUCAGACCAGCGUUGGUGCGAGGUGACAUUCUCCACUGCUCUUUAAAGGACCAGUUGCUGUAGUAAAUCUAACGGGUUCUACACGUCCAAUGUCCUUAGGUUCCAAACCUUUCGGGUCACUAUGGAGUCGUUAGGAUGUACCCACAAGAUGACUCAGUGUAUGAGUCCCCAGAGCCCUUCCUGACAGACGACAGCACCGGUGGCUGUUGGGUGGCCGCCCCCUGCCUCUCCCUCAUGCUGGCCAUGCUGCUCACGCUUCUCCUGUCCUCAUCAUAGCAUCUUGGGCCCGCCGGCCGUACCCCCUUUGGAACAGCCCCUACCCGACUUCCCGUCAAAUCUUCCGCCUCUGCCCCGCGCGAGGAGACAUGCCUCCUCCACACCCCAUCUCCCCACGCCUGUCCUCUCCUCCUCCCAUAUCAGUCCACUCCCCUCCACCCUCAACCCCUCGACAUGCACCAUCUGGACACUGUAAACUCAUACUGCCCCUCCCUCCCUCAGAACCCUCCAACUCCUCAGCGUAACCCUUGCUUCAUGACCUCUGGCUUCUGACCCUCGGCCUACAGCUCAAGUCCAGGUGGCAAUAAAGUGGAGUAGUCCUGGGGACCAGGAAGGAGUAGUGGAAAGACAAGAAGGAGUCCCUUAAAGACAGGAAGGAGUUCCUUAAAGUCUUUACAAAAACAGCCUCCCAGCUGCAGAGGAGCGCUGGGAUGUGCAAGAAAUGGAUGGGGUUUUGAACCGAACUGAGAACAAACUCCCCUCCUACGUGUCUGGAUGGUCGACAGUGACGUCAUCUCCACUUAAGGACCCUCUCAUUUGCAUCUUCAUCUUCGGACUGUUUGCGUUUCUCUUUGAGGCUUUGUGCUUUGAUUAUGCUCAAUAGUGUCCCACUUGUACAUGUUCAUUCUGUUACAGUGUAUUAUACAGUAGUAUAUUACUUUGUCACGUUGGCUCCUGCGGUGAUAGAUCAUAGGUGAACCUUCUCUUUAUCUCUCUCUCUCUCUUCUUGUGUGUCUCUGACCAGUCUCUCUCUCUCUCUCUCUCUCUCUCUCUCUCUCUCUCUCUCUCUCUCUCUCUCUCUCUCUCUCUCUUCUUGUGUGUCUCUGACCAGUCUUUCCCUCUCUCUCUUCUUGUGUCUCUGACCAGUCUCUCUCUCUCUCUCUCUCUCUCUCUCUCUCUCUCUUCUUGUGUGUCUCUGACCAGUCUCUCUCUCUCUCUCUCUCUCUCUCUCUCUCUCUCUCUCUCUCUCUCUCUCUCUCUUCUUGUGUGUCUCUGACCAGUCUCUAACAUCUUUGCAAUUUCUAGCAGUAGCGUCCCAGAGUAGAUGAGGACCUUUUCUGUAAAUCUGCCAAAGACACUUGUUUAACUUUUAUACCGGGAGAACAGGGGGGUGGGACGGCGCUGUCGUGGCUCUCCAACAAGGUCGUAAGCAGCCAUAGACCUCUGUGUAGACCCUCUAAAACAUGCCAUGGGGGUCCCAUCACAGGCAGGGCAGUGUAGAUUUUUUAAAAAGAGGAUCUUUUUGUCAUACAAAAAAAAAAGUUAUGUAAAAACAAACAAAUGAACCGUUUAAAAAAUUGCCUUUUUUCCACUGGUGCUGAAUUCAAAAUGAGUCUCUUCAUCUCAUGCUGCGGUGCUCUCUUUCUCACUACCCCCUCUUCUCUCUCUCUCUCUCUCUCUCUCUCUCUCUCUCUCUCUCUCUCUACCCCCUCUAUCUCUACCCCCUCUUCUCUCUCUCUCUACCCCCCUCUCUCUCUACCCCUCUUCUUUCUCUCUCUCUCUAUACCCCUCUUCUCUCUCUUUCUCUCUCUACCCCUCCUCUCUCUUUCUCUCUCUACCCAUCUCUCUCUCUCUACCCCUCUUCUCUCUCUCUCUAUCCCUCUUCUCUCUCUUUCUCUCUCUCUACCCCUCUCUCUCUACCCCUCUUCUCUCACACUCUCUCUCUCUACCCCUCUCUCUCUACCCCACUUCUCUUUCUCUCUCUCUACCCCUCAUCUCUCUCUUUACUGCUCUUCUCUCUCUACCCCUCUUCUCUUUCUCUCCCUCUCUCUCUCUCUCUCUCUCUCUCUACCCCUCAUCUCUCUCCCUCUCUUUCUCUCAUUCUCUCUACCCCCUUCUAUCUUACUCUCUCUCAUUCGCUCUACACUCUCUCUCUGUCUCAUUCUCUGCCCCCUCUCUCUCUCUUUCUCUCUCAUGCUCUGAAUGUGAGCUUUUCACCGUGUGACGUUUUCGCUGUACGACACAUGCCCAUUUCUAUGUCAGGUCCUCUUGUCUGAGUCCCAGUACUGAGGCUGGUGACCGCUGGGUCAUUGUGGAGACUGAGGGCCUGUCAUCUCGAGGGGAAUGGACAAUGUGACAUCCCCAUGUAUUGUGCAACACUAAGGGAGCCAGACCUCCAUGUACACUUAAAGGUGACGGAAAGGGAGCCAGACCUCCAUGUACACUUAAAGGUGACGGAAAGGGAGCCAGACCUCCAUGUACACUUAAAGGUGACGGAAAGGGAGCCAGACCUCCAUGUAC
rnacentral:lncRNA from 1 species